rnacentral:rRNA from 1 species
CGGAAUUACUGGGCGUAAAGGGUGCGUAGGUGGUUAUUUAAGUUAUCUGUGAAAUCCCUGGGCUUAACCUGGGAAGGUCAGAUAAUACUGUUUAACUCGAGUAUAGGAGAGGGUAGUGGAAUUUCCGGUGUAGCGGUGAAAUGCGUAAAGAUCGGAAGGAACACCAGUGGCGAAGGCGGCUACCUGGCCUGAUAC